rnacentral:lncRNA from 1 species
CCGAGAUUUGGCAGCAUUAGAUUAUUUAUAGAUAACGCCUGCAGAUUUUUCAUUUCUGAAAAUACUUUCCGAAUGUUGUGGUCAAGAAGCCAUCAAUGACUAAGGUACGGAGAGAUUUUAAGUGUUUAAAAACUUCAUCGGGAUAUACGGGUUCAGUUGUGUCAAAUCCAUUCUGACCGAUAUCUAGAUAGGUUAAACUUCGAAGAUUAUUAAAGACAUUUUGUAUGGAAUACCGUUCUGUUGUAGCUCAGUAGGUUCUGGUGAAGAUCUAAAACCUGAAGCCUUUUAGAAUUUACGAAGGGAUAACGUCCAAAUGAAUUGAUCUUAUUCACUGACAAAUCCAAAUGAAUAACUGAUUCCGGUAAUUUUCGACCGUCCAAUACUCUGUGAAAAUCAUUAUUUCUCAAGUUAAGUUGUUGAAGAGUUUUCAACUCUGAUAAUGAAUAAUUUUCAGAUCUGUCGAUUUUAUUAAAUGAAAGAUCCAAAAUAAGUAAUUGGUCAGGUAACAAAUUAGCGUCUGGAAUAUAUUCAAGAUUAUUGUGGCUAAAGUUAAUUGUUCUGACUGUUUUAUAUAAACUGAAAUUUGGAUAUCUGUUUAAUCCAUGGUUUACACAAUUUAUAACUAUACGAUUGCAGUCACAUUUUGCACACGUUUUUGUCAUAUGAUCAACAGACAAAUAACAUACUGGCAGUAAAAGUAAUCCUAACAAACUGAUAAUCAAUAAUAUAGACAUCCUACUUCACAAAAAUAUU